UUUUUGUUGAAUGUUUAAGUAGCUACCCUAAGGAGUUAAGGAUGAUUCAAAUGAGUUAAACACAAUUUGACGCAUUAUUGACCAAACACUUUGUCAACAAACCUUGUGGGUGGUGCAUCGAAUAAUCAGUCAGAUUCAGUUGGAUAGAUGUUCCACGUUACAACCAAAACAGCAUCAUGAUCUUCAUCUCAGAGACUCGUUGUCAUGUUCAGUCCAUGACAAUCAUCUGAUUGUCUUCACAAAGACACCAGUGUUGAGGUCUUGGUCUGCAGUGGAGUGAGGAAAGAUGAGUCUCUCACAGAAACACAGUGUACGAUCAGGUUCGUGUGUAUCCAGCUCUGUGUCUGUGAAGAGUGAUAAUUCAAAACAAGGACGUCACCCAAAUUUCAGUAGAGAUACUCUGUCACCUACCACAAGUGUACGAUCAGGUUCGUGUGUAUCCAGCUCUGUGUCUGUGAAGAGUGAUAAUUCAAAACAAGGACGUCACCCAAAUUUCAGUAGAGAUACUCUGUCACCUACCACAAGGUA